rnacentral:rRNA from 1 species
UACGUAGGGGGCAAGCGUUGUCCGGAAUCAUUGGGCGUAAAGAGCGUGUAGGCGGUCCGGUCAGUCGGUUGUGAAAGUCAAGGGCUCAACCCUUGAAUGCCGGCCGAUACUGCCGGGCUAGAGUCCGGAAGAGGUGAGUGGAAUUCCUGGUGUAGCGGUGAAAUGCGCAGAUAUCAGGAGGAACACCGAUGGCGAAGGCAGCUCACUGGGACGGUACUGACGCUGAGACGCGAAAGCGUGGGGAGCAAACGGG